AAAGGAAUUGACGGGGGCCCGCACAAGCGGUGGAGCAUGAGGUUUAAUUCGAAGCAACGCGCAGAACCUUACCAUCCUUUGACAUGGCGUGUUAUGGGGAGAGAUUCCCAGUCCACUUUGGUGGCGCGCACACAGGUGCUGCAUGGCUGUCGUCAGCUCGUGUCGUGAGAUGUUGGGUUAAGUCCCGCAACGAGCGCAACCCACGUCCUUAGUUGCCAUCAUUCAGUUGGGCACUCUAGGGAGACUGCCGGUGAUAAGCCGCGAGGAAGGUGUGGAUGACGUCAAGUCCUCAUGGCCCUUACGGGAUGGGCUACACACGUGCUACAAUGGCGGUGACAGUGGGACGCGAAGGGGCGACCUGGAGCAAAUCCCCAAAAGCCGUCUCAGUUCGGAUUGCACUCUGCAACUCGGGUGCAUGAAGGCGGAAUCGCUAGUAAUCGUGGAUCAGCAUGCCACGGUGAAUACGUUCCCGGGCCUUGUACACACGCGCCCGUCACACCAUGGGAGUUGGUCUUACCCGACGGCGCUGCGCCAACCGCAAGGGGGCAGGCGACCACGGUAGGGUCAGCGACUGGGGUGAAGUCGUAACAAGGUACC
rnacentral:rRNA from 1 species